rnacentral:rRNA from 1 species
AUACGGAGGAUGCAAGCGUUAUCCGGAUUUAUUGGGUUUAAAGGGUGCGUAGGCGGUUUGCUAAGCGGGAGGUGAAAUGCCGGCGCUCAACGUCGGAAGUGCCUCCCGAACUGGUGGACUUGAAUGACUCUGCCGUGGGAGGAAUGUGUAGUGUAGCGGUGAAAUGCUUAGAGAUUACACAGAACACCGAUUGCGAAGGCAUCUCACGAAGGGUUGAUUGACGCUGAGGCACGAAAGCGUGGGGAUCAAACAGGAUUAGAUACCCUGGUAGUCCACGCAGUAAACGAUGAUGGCUAACCGCUGGAUCCAUCGGUUCAGUGGCCAAGCGAAAGCGAUAAGCCAUCCACCUGGGGAGUACGACCGCAAGGUUGAAACUCAAAUGAAUUGACGGGG